CUAAUGUGAGUCACCCACAGCCCGAGUGCUUUGGUGACAGACAUUCAGAGCUCAGCUCCAGCAGUCAUUGCACAAUGUAAAGAUCUCCCACCUAAACAUCCAGGCCAGGCAUUGGAAGAUGAGGAGAAUGGGAGCAGGAACAGAAGCAAGUGUGAGAUAACCUACUAAGAUAGUGUCUGUGCUGUGGAGAAGUUCAGGGACCUGUUUCCUUACAAACCAUUCAGUGUGUCUGGCACAGCAGAGCCGAUGGGAACCACUCCCUGCAUUGAUCUGGCAAUGCAGACCUGAAGAUUAUUUGCCUACGAGCAGGUAGAAGUGAGAAGGACAAUCCAUGGAACAUUCCCACGCCGAUGAGGCAUUUCCCAUCUCUGAAAGAAACACAGAGGGAUGCUGUCCUCACCCCAAAUGUACGUGCUUAGUGGAAGAGCAAGGACAUGAAACCCCUUUUAAAAUAUGUACUGUUCGUGCAUAAAUAUAUCUCUACAUAAUGCUGAACUUCUCAUUUCAAGUAAGCAGAGGAACA